AUUGAACGCUGGCGGCAGGCUUAACACAUGCAAGUCGAGCGGAAACGAGUUAUCUGAACCUUCGGGGAACGAUAACGGCGUCGAGCGGCGGACGGGUGAGUAAUGCCUAGGAAAUUGCCCCGAUGUGGGGGAUAACCAUUGGAAACGAUGGCUAAUACCGCAUAAUGCCUUCGGGCCAAAGAGGGGGACCUUCGGGCCUCUCGCGUCAGGAUAUGCCUAGGUGGGAUUAGCUAGUUGGUGAGGUAAAGGCUCACCAAGGCGACGAUCCCUAGCUGGUCUGAGAGGAUGAUCAGCCACACUGGAACUGGGACACGGUCCAGACUCCUACGGGAGGCAGCAGUGGGGAAUAUUGCACAAUGGGCGCAAGCCUGAUGCAGCCAUGCCGCGUGUGUGAAGAAGGCCUUCGGGUUGUAAAGCACUUUCAGUCGUGAGGAAGGCAGUACAGUUAAUAGCUGUAUUGUUUGACGUUAGCGACAGAAGAAGCACCGGCUAACUCCGUGCCAGCAGCCGCGGUAAUACGGAGGGUGCGAGCGUUAAUCGGAAUUACUGGGCGUAAAGCGCAUGCAGGUGGUUUGUUAAGUCAGAUGUGAAAGCCCGGGGCUCAACCUCGGAAUAGCAUUUUGAACUGGCAGACUAGAGUCCUGUAGAGGGGGGUAGAAUUUCA
rnacentral:rRNA from 1 species